rnacentral:lncRNA from 1 species
ACUUUCCCUUUUGCGCCGCGCUCUGUCUUCUCCGCGCUCGCGGGCCUGACCCUAGCGGCAUCCCCAGUACCUUGAUCCGGCGGGGGGCGCGCCACAGGAGAGCCAGGAGGGCGGGAGAUCCCCAAAGAAGAGCUCAGAGGAGUGAGGCAACACCAACACCAGGGCGUACGAUACACCCGAGGCUCCUCCGACACCAGUUCCAGCCCGGAAGGGCUUGGAAUGGCCUGCCACGCCGGGGCAAUGGAGCGCGUGAAAGCCAAACCUUGGGACCCGAAGAGUAAUUUGACUGCGAAGGCACCGUCAUCGUCGGGCACCCCCUGUAGACGGGCGCAUAAUAGCUACAUCUCUGGAGAUAGUGAUGGAAACUGGGGUCCGAUAGAUGGAGAGAAGGACGUAGGAUAAGGCUUCUUGUGGGGUGAAGAGGCAGAGGGCACCUGGAGAGAGGUGUGGCAUGGAGAACCAGGGGUUUUCCCUAGCAGAGGGCGGCUUCGUGGACUUCGGCCAACCGGCGGGUGCUUCCCUCGAGCGGCCGCUAGAUGGUGGUGCUGUUCUGGAUGCUUCCAGUGGGCCCCGACCAGGUCUGGACAAUGCCUGGCGCCCGUCCCCCGCCCCUCAUCUACACACACGCAAGAAUUCGGAGCUCCAUGGGGAACAGAAGCAAGAUAUCCGUAAAAUCAAAGU